CGGAUCGGAGUCUGNAACCCGACUCCGUGAAGCUGGAUUCGCUAGUAAUCGCGCAUCAGCCAUGGCGCGGUGAAUACGUUCCCGGGCCUUGUACACACCGCCCGUCAAGCCAUGGAAGCCGGGGGUGCCUGAAGUGUGCAGCCGCAAGGAGCGCCCUAAGGUAAAACCGGUGACUGGGGCUAAGUCGUAACAAGGUACC
rnacentral:rRNA from 1 species